AAAGGUUUCUUUUGACCACAAACAGAAAUAGAUUACCAGCUAUGCAUGUCUAUUGUGUCAGUAUCCUUAGUGUUUUUGAUUCAUAUGUUUUAUUAAACUCAUGUUUUUCUAUGGCUAGUUAAUCGAAACAGUAUGAUUACUUCUAGCUCAUAUUGGCUAAAGUAAAAGUUCAUUUUUCUCUUACUUUUCUUCGACUGGCUAUUUUAGGGAAGGAUAUUUUCCUAAGUCUCAAAGCAAUUUUCUUUAAAAAUAUAUGUAAGUGAAUAAUUUAUUUGACAGCUGAGGUUUCAGAAAAAUUUUAAAAUAUUGUAUGAUUGUGUAUUUUCUGAAAUUUUACUUUUUUAUAAUCAUUGUCCUAUAUACAGACACACAUAUUUAUGUAGGACUUCUAAACUAUGCUAUAAGAAUACACAUGAAGUUUGAGUACUUGUAUUUCAAAUAAUAGGAGAGGAAAGGGAAACAUUUCUUGAACACAUUUGUGGCAGUGGCAUAUUUAUGAAAAGUAGCUUACUAGCAAAAAGACCUGAAAAAUGUGACUUACAGCUGUCACAUUGUAACUGAACAAUGGCAAGUAGAAAAUUGGAUUUGGUAGUUUGUGUAACAUUUGAAAAUCUUUUUUCUAUUAGACCAUACUAUGAGAUACUGCCCAGUUUAUUAAUAAAUAACCUGAAACUUCUCCAGAAAUAUUCAUUGAUCCAGGUCUACUAGCUGUAGUACCUAGAGCUAGGGUGUAUCACUGGAAUCCAUGGUUUGUCUUCUUUUACUGACUUUGAAUUUGGAAGAUAAGUAAAAGAUGGAACUGAAGAGAAAAAAGGGUUUACUGACUUUAAAAAAACAUUGAUGACACUUAGUAUACUGGCAUAGAGACAGCUUAGUGAUACAACUUUCUGAAAGAAGUUAUUUUGUAGACAUGAAAAGACUUAUAUUGUAUUUUUUCCCCCUUGCCCGUGUGCUGCAAUACAGGAAGCUCCGAUUCUGUGGUUCCUGAUCUUCCAGUUCCAACCCUCAGUGCCCCAAGCCGCUGGGUGUGGGACCAAGAGGAGGAGCGAAAGCGGCAGGAGAGGUGGCAGAAGGAGCAGGACCGUCUGCUGCAGG